rnacentral:rRNA from 1 species
ACUCCUACGGGAGGCAGCAGUAGGCAAUCUUCCGCAAUGGACGAAAGUCUGACGGAGCAACGCUGCGUGAGUGAUGAAGGCUUUCGGGUCGUAAAACUCUGUUGUUAGGGAAGAACAAGUGCUAGUUGAAUGAGCUGGCACCUUGACGGUACCUAACCAGAAAGCCACGGCUACCUACGUGCCAGCAGCCGCGGUAAUA